rnacentral:rRNA from 1 species
UACAGAGGGGGGCAAGCGUUGUUCGGAAUUACUGGGCGUAAAGGGCGCGUAGGCGGCCGCCUAAGUCAGACGUGAAAUCCCAAGGCUUAACCUUGGAACUGCGUCGGAUACUGGAUGGCUUGAAUUCGGGAGAGGGAUGCAGAAUUCCAGGUGUAGCGGUGAAAUGCGCAGAUAUCAGGAGGAACACCGGUGGCGAAGGCGGUUCUCUGGGCAUGUCCUGACGCUGAGGAGCGAAAGUGUGGGGAGCGAACAGG